GGGAUUGACAAUGGGCGCAGCCUGAUGCAGCCAUGCCGCGUGUGUGAAGAAGGCUCUAGGGUUGUAAAGCUCUUUCAGUCGGGAGGAAAGGKUAUCAGUUAAUACGUGGUAGCUGUGACGGUACCGACAGAAGAAGCACCGGCUACUCCG
rnacentral:rRNA from 1 species